CCUACGGGAGGCAGCAGUGGGGGAUAUUGCACAAUGGGGGAAACCCUGAUGCAGCGACGCCGCGUGUGGGAAGACGGUCCUCUGGAUUGUAAACCACUGUCCCCAGGGACGAAGAUGACGGUACCUGGGGAGGAAGCUCCGGCUAACUACGUGCCAGUAGCCGCGGUAAUAGGGAGGGAGCGAGCGUUGUCCGGAAUGACUGGGGGUAAAGGGAUCGUAGGCGGGGAUGCAAGUUGGGUGACAAAACUACCGGCUAAACUGGAAGCCGAACUCAAAACGGCAUCUCUUGCGUAAAGUAGGGGCAGGGGGAAUCGCUGGGGUGGGGGUGAAAUGCGUAGAUAUUAGGGGGAACACCAGUGGGGAGGGCGGCCUGCUGGGCUUUUCCGGACGCUGAGGCUCGAGAGUGUGGGGAGCAAACGGGAUUAGAUCCCCCUGUAGUC
rnacentral:rRNA from 1 species